UAAUAAUGCCCGUAAAUAAGAGUUCCGGAGGCUAAAAGAAAUUGCUGUGGCCUGAGGAGCGAAAGCAGGCGAGGGGAAAGGGGAGGUCGAGACGAGAGCGAUCUGUUGGGCUAGCGAAAGAGCGCGAUGGAGGGCGGAGCCCAGACGACAGACGCCGAGAUGAUGGAGGCGGGAGCGCAACUUCCGCCUCAGCCGGCCGCCGGUCCCGCCCCGCAGGGCCUAGACAACAUCCAGGUGACGCUCAGCCACGGAGGACGGUUCAUCCAGUACAACAUAUUUGGAAACAUCUUCGAGGUCACCUCCAAAUACAAACCCCCCAUCAUGCCGAUUGGCAAGGGCGCCUAUGGGAUCGUAUGCUCGGCUUUGAAUUCCGAGACGGGCGAGCAGGUGGCGAUAAAGAAAAUUGCCAACGCAUUCGAUAACAAGAUCGAUGGGAAGAGGACUCUGCGGGAGAUAAAGCUUUUAAGGCACAUGGAUCAUGAAAAUAUUGUUGCAAUCAGAGAUAUAAUACCACCUUCUGCAAGGAACACAUUCAAUGAUGUCUACAUUGCUUAUGAGUUGAUGGACACAGAUCUUCAUCAAAUUAUUCGCUCAAAUCAGGCUUUUUCUGAGGAGCAUUGCCAGUAUUUCCUUUAUCAGAUUCUUCGGGGGUUAAAGUACAUUCAUUCAGCAAAUGUUCUCCACAGAGAUCUGAAACCAAGCAAUCUCCUCUUAAAUGCCAAUUGUGAUCUGAAAAUUUGUGACUUUGGGCUUGCUCGGACUACCUCAGAAACUGAUUUUAUGACAGAAUAUGUUGUUACAAGAUGGUAUCGAGCUCCAGAGCUAUUGUUGAAUUCUUCAGAAUAUACUGCAGCAAUUGAUGUGUGGUCUGUUGGUUGUAUCUUCAUGGAACUGAUGGACCGGAAGCCUCUAUUUCCUGGAAGGGAUCAUGUGCAUCAAUUAAGGUUAUUGAUGGAGCUUUUAGAUGGAAGCGGAUGAGUAUUUAUGGUAGUUCUUCCUUACUAAAUCAGCUAUUUGAUCAUUAUGGAAAGCUAAUAGAAGCUAUAGGACAAGAAGAACGCUUAUUGGCACGCCGAAUGAGACCGAAUUGGAUUUCCUGAAUGACAAUGCCAGAAGAUACAUUGGUCAACUCACUCGUUAUCCAAAACAGUCCUUGCCUGAAAAAUUUCCGCAUGUUAAUCAUACAGCUAUUGAUCUCGUUGAAAAGAUGCUAACAUUUGAUCCUAGGCAGCGAAUAACUGUUGAAGAAGCUCUAGCACACCCUUACCUAACGGCUUUACACGACAGCAGCGACGAACCCGUGUGCAUGAUGCCCUUCAGCUUUGACUUCGAGCAGCAGGCACUUUCCGAGGAACAGAUGAAAGAACUCAUCUACCGGGAGGCUCUGGCGUUCAACCCUGAUCACCAGCAAUGAAAAUAAUCUUAAUCCUCUAUUAAUGCCUUUGACCUUAUAUCACUGUAAACGAAGUUGUUUGUGUGGUAUGGCACUGUCUCUGAUUUCUCAGCUAUGUGGAUGUCCAGAAUGCUGGUACUCGUUGAUGCUAGGGGUUGUAUUCCGGGAGCUUCUGAUUAAUUGACUACACUUUUAUCAGUUGUCGUUUAGUUUUGCCGGUAAGUUUGUUGAUUAAAAAUAAUCAAACCUGCUGUAUUUUCCUGGUUCUAGUUCUAAUAAAAAAAGACUGCUGGCAGAUGUCACUCUUGGUAUGAUCA